rnacentral:rRNA from 1 species
CACGGGGCGCAGCAGGCGCGAAAACUUUACAAUGCGGGCAACCGUGAUAAGGGAACCUCGAGUGCCUGUAUAUGCAGGCUGUCCAGGUGUCUAAAACACACCUGAAGAAAGGGCCGGGCAAGACCGGUGCCAGCCGCCGCGGUAAUACCGGCGGCUCGAGUGGUGGCCGCUUUUAUUGGGCUUAAAGCGUUCGUAGCUGGGUCGUUAAGUCUCUUGGGAAAUCCGGCAGCUCAACUGUCGGGCGUCUAAGAGAUACUGGCGAUCUUGGAACCGGGAGAGGUGAGGGGUACUUCGGGGGUAGGAGUGAAAUCCUGUAAUCCUCGAGGGACCACCUGUGGCGAAGGCGCCUCACCAGAACGGCUUCGACAGUGAGGGACGAAAGCUGGGGGAGCAAACCGGAUUAGAUACCCGGGUAGUCCCAGCCGUAAACAAUGCGGUUAGGUGA